AGGGCACCACCAGGAGUGGAGCCUGCGGCUUAAUUUGACUCAACACGGGAAAACUCACCCGGCCCGGACACUGGAAGGAUUGACAGAUUGAGAGCUCUUUCUUGAUUCAGUGGGUGGUGGUGCAUGGCCGUUCUUAGUUGGUGGAGUGAUUUGUCUGGUUAAUUCCGAUAACGAACGAGACUCUAGCCUACUAAAUAGAUAGUCGGCUUACAAACGUCGACUAGACUUCUUAGAGGGACAGGCGGUGAUUCAACCGCACGAAACAGAGCAAUAACAGGUCUGUGAUGCCCUUAGAUGUCCGGGGCCGCACGCGCGCUACACUGAAGUGAUCAGCGUGCUUUUUCAGCCUACUCUGUCAAGAGUGGGAAACCCAAUGAACCUUCUUCGUGAUUGGGAUAGGGGACUGUAAUUAUUCCCCUUGAACGAGGAAUUCCCAGUAAGCGCGAGUCAUAAGCUCGCGUUGAUUACGUCCCUGCCCUUUGUACACACCGCCCGUCGCUACUACCGAUUGAAUGUUUU
rnacentral:rRNA from 1 species